CCUACGGGCGGCAGCAGUGAGGAAUAUUGGUCAAUGGGCGCGAGUCUGAACCAGCCAUGCAGCGUGAAGGAUGACUGCCCUACGGGUUGUAAACUUCUUUUAUACAAGAAUAAACUGAGGUACGUGUGUCUUUCUGUAUGUACUUUAUGAAUAAGGAUCGGCUAACUCCGUGCCAGCAGCCGCGGUAAUACGGAGGAUCCGAGCGUUAUCCGGAUUUAUUGGGUUUAAAGGGAGCGUAGAUGGGUUGUUAAGUUAGUUGUGAAAGUUUGCGGCUCAACCGUAGAAUUGCAAUUGAUACUGGCGGUCUUGAGUACAGAUGAGGUAGGCGGAAUGCGUGGUGUAGCGGUGAAAUGCUUAGAGAUCACGAAGAACUCCGAUUGCGAAGGCAGCUUACUAAUCUGCCACUGACAUUGAUGCUCGAAAGUGUGGGGAUCAAACAGGAUUAGAUACCCGGGUAGUC
rnacentral:rRNA from 1 species